rnacentral:rRNA from 1 species
AUUGAACGCUGGCGGCAGGCCUAACACAUGCAAGUCGAGCGAGCGGCGGACGGGUGAGUAAUGUAUGGGGAUCUGCCCGAUGGAGGGGGAUAACUACUGGAAACGGUGGCUAAUACCGCAUACUAUCAGAUGAACCCAGAUGGGAUUAGCUAGUAGGUGGGGUAAAGGCUCACCUGGGCGACGAUCUCUAGCUGGCCUGAGAGGAGGAUCGGCCACACUGGAACUGAGAAACGGCCAAGACUCCUACGGGAGGAAGAAGUGGGGAAUAUUGCAAAAUGGGGGCAAGCCUGAUGCAGCCAGGCGGCGUGUAUGAGGAAGGCCUUAGGGUUGUAAAGUACUUUCAGCGGGGAGGCGUUACCCGCAGAAGAAGCACCGGCUAACUCCGUGCCAGCAGCCGCGGUAAUAC